CCAGCCAAAAAUGUGAAACGACCUAAACGUGGCGAGGCCAACCAUAUGCUGUCCCUUCCUGCUGGAGAGACAUCAGAAAACCUUGAAACUGAGCGCCUGGAACUUUUAAAGGAAGUGAAGAAAAGAAACAAUGCAGGGACUAUCAGAGAAAAAAAUGGCAAAGACGUUUGCCUUGCAUAGACAAGAAAAACUAUCUAGUGUUCAGGAACUGCAAGAACGAUAGCAAGCACUGUUUCAAGAAGAGAUUAAUGCAGAAUUUUUGCGCAUCACGACUUUACCUUUACAACCGAAAUUUUUGGCCUCUUUGGACAGACAGAGCUCUCAGCUUAUCCAGGUUAUUAGGAGCAAAGGUGGAGCCGUUCGUGAAAAAACUAAGGACACUAUUGAAGUUAUGGAUCAGAGACGGUGCCUCAGAUGAGAGUGCCUGCUGAAGUGCCUCAUCAUAUACCUGGGUGAAGAUGCAAGCUGUUUGAUCAAAGAAUACCAGGCUGGCCAGAGGGAUGAAGCGGAGAGAGAAUUUGAAAAGACCACCAUGGCAAUUUUUGUGCUACAUGAAAGUGAUGCUCUCAGCUCUCCACUGGACAUUGGCGUUGUCAUUGACGGUGUGGAGGUACUAAAUGAGUUGUCCUCUGUUCCAUGUGCCUGUAGCAUGAUGUUUGGACUCAUUUAUGCAAUGAACUUAAAAUAUCCUGAAGGACUUAAAUAUACCUUUGAGGCCUUUCAAAAAAUAAUCAUGGACAUGAUUAUCAGAGAAUAAGCAGAUGAGCCGAAGGGAGCAGAACCUCUCUUCGAAGCUGCAGGAGUGAAUUCGUCUCCU